rnacentral:rRNA from 1 species
ACUCCUGCGGGAGGCAGCAGUGGGGAAUAUUGGACAAUGGGCGCAAGCCUGAUCCAGCCAUGCCGCGUGAGUGAUGAAGGCCCUAGGGUUGUAAAGCUCUUUCACCGGUGAAGAUAAUGACGGUAACCGGAGAAGAAGCCCCGGCUAACUUCGUGCCAGCAGCCGCGGUAAUACGAAGGGGGCUAGCGUUGUUCGGAUUUACUGGGCGUAAAGCGCACGUAGGCGGACUAUUAAGUCAGGGGUGAAAUCCCGGGGCUCAACCCCGGAACUGCCUUUGAUACUGGUAGUCUUGAGUUCGAGAGAGGUGAGUGGAAUUCCGAGUGUAGAGGUGAAAUUCGUAGAUAUUCGGAGGAACACCAGUGGCGAAGGCGGCUCACUGGCUCGAUACUGACGCUGAGGUGCGAAAGCGUGGGGAGCAAACAGGAUUAGAUACCCGAGUAGUCCCAUGAU